UUGAGCCUUGCUGUCAUUCUGCAAUUCUGAGGCCUCCCUUUCCAUUCCAACUACUUCUGCAUAUUCAAUUUCGUUUCUUGAAAUCAUUGGUAAAGAUCUAUGGUUGGUUGUCGAAUUCUGUCAUGAGUAGAAGAAACCACAUUGGUCUGACACUGAUUUCUUGAUUUCUUUACCCAGCAAAAAAAAAAAAUGGUCCGACACUGAUAGAGCAUCAGAGACUGGUUAAUAUUGAGUUGCUUUGCUGUUUCAGCAGAUGAGUCCUUGGAAAUUGAGUUAAAUGUUUUAGGAUUCUUCUCUUGUUUUUCCAAUCAAUCAUAAUUUCUGUGUAUUAACACACUUAAAUCCAAAUUACUGUGACUGAACCUCUUUAAGAAGGAUUCAUCCCGGCACUGAAAAGAAUGCCGGUAAUUCAGAUUGUCCCCCGGAAGCUUGUGGCAACGGAAGCCGCGGGAGAUAUGCUGACCUCAUUAGCGUAGAAUGGAACGAUCAAGCUGCUACAUUUAUCGGAGUUGGGAUUGGGUAUGUCAUCAUCGCAGAGACCUUUAUGCAAGGGAAACGGAAGGAAGUCCAGAAGAGCUGCCACUGCCAGGGUUGCUAAAUGAUAAAAGCACAGGCAUCUUGCAUGACUUAGUUCAGGUUUCUUUGGAUGGAGGACUUGCUAAUAUGGAGAAAGCGCCGGAAGCUGCCCUGCAAGUGUCAUGGAUGGCCUAAUGCGUAAUAGUCACAUACCCCUGCCAGUGUCAUGGAUGGCACGGCGGACGAAUGCAGAACCAAUUCAUCGUUCUAAUAUCAGGUGGCUUUUGCCUGACUGCAUGGACUGAAGAAGCAUUGUUAUUUGCUAACACACCGGAUCAAGUUAUAGCAUGAGAAAGAUGCAACUUGCCGGAAGAACCAGGAAGAAGGAUGCGACUCCCAUGACUGAGUUUAGGCUUCCUUCUGGCGACACCGAAAAAUCUUACUGAUCCAAGAACACAGAGCAUUGAGCAAUAUCCGGACGAUAUUAUAAGGGACUACAACGUUAAUACAGAACUAACAAAGAGAGAUUAGCUGAGGAUGCCAAAGCUGUACAUAAUUUUCUCGCUCAAAUGAAUGGGCUGCCUUGCCUUCUGGUUAUCCAACACCCGUAUAUGACAGUUGAUUUCGACAUUAACAUCAUGCAGUCAAGGUCUGAGUUCGAAGUAAUACUUGCUAGUACUGAGGAAAUUCCCACAACCAAGAGCUAUAAGGUGCCUUAAAAGAGGCUAUCAUUGGCAACUCGACACAGAUUCAAGUGGCGCAACCGAUUUACGGAAACGAAAGAUGCGUUGUAUCUCAUAAUGAGUAUUAGAUACAGAAACGUCGGACCAAAGCAUUAAAAGGUACAACAUUUGAAGUCGUUAUAAGAUACAACGUUUGAUAUAGAAACGUUUGAAGUCUCGUGGACCCAGCCAUAGCCUGAGCAUAAGGCUGUUAUAGGUGACUAUAUCAGGACCCAGACGGCGUGUGAAGUAUAUCCUUUAAGAACUCCCAGGGCGUCUCCUACUCUCCCAACUCGACAUAGCCCAUUGAUAAGAAUAUCGCAAGAGAUUAAUUUCGGGGUUAAGCCCUUCCCUCAUCAUUUCUUCGGACAAUCCCAUUGCUCGAUCAACAGCUAGCCCCGGCUCUGCAGAGGGCCUUGAUCAGACUGUUGCUAGUCAUGUCAUCAAGAGGGCACCCUCUGAAUAACCAUUUGGUUGGCAAAGCUCAUAAUACUUCUUGGAUCUCUCCUCUCCUCAGAAAUGCCUGAAUGAGCACAUUAUAUAAUUGCAAUGCUUCUUCAACCUUUGUCCUCCUUACAUAUUUAGUCCAUAUACUCAAGAGAAUUAAAUGUUUUUAAAAAGUAGCAAGGCAACCGGUUGAGAUGGUUGCCUUAUCAGA